rnacentral:misc_RNA from 1 species
GGAAGGAUCAUUACCAAAACGUAGCCGUCUGGCCGCAAGGCCCCGACGCUUCAACCCAAUGUGAACCAAAAAACCUUUCGCUUCGGCAGCCGCUCCGGUUGGGAACGACCGCGGGUGUCAGCCUGCCGCUAGCACCAACCUUCAAAACUUGCAGUAGAACAUUGUCUGAACACCAAAUUUUCGAAUGAAAAUCAAAACUUUCAACAACGGAUCUCUUGGUUCUCGCAUCGAUGAAGAACGCAGCGAAACGCGAUAGUUAAUGUGAAUUGCAGAAUUCAGUGAAUCAUCGAGUCUUUGAACGCACAUUGCGCCCAUUGGUAUUCCUUUGGGCAUGUCUGUUUGAGCGUCAUUACAACCCUCGGUCACCACCGGUUUUGAGCCAGCGCGGGUCCCCGACCCGGCUGGCUUUAAAGUUGUAAGCUCUGCCGGCCGCUCAGCCCGAUCAGAACAUAGUAAAACGCUACUUGUUCGCGGGUCGGGUCGAAAGCGGUACGGCCUGAACAAAACCUACCAAACUCUAAGGUUUGACCUCAGAUCAGACAAGGAUACCCGCUGAACUUAAGCAUAUCAAUAAGCGGAGGAAAAGAAACCAACAGGGAUUGCCUUAGUAACGGCGAGUGAAGCGGCAAGAGCUCAAAUUUGAAAUCUGGUGCCCCCGGCGCCCGAGUUGUAAUUUGAAGAGGAUGUUUCGGUUGCGGCCUCGGCCUAAGUUCCUUGGAACAGGACGUCAUGGAGGGUGAGAAUCCCGUACAUGGCUGCAGGUCUGCUUCCGUGUGAAACUCCUUCGACGAGUCGAGUUGUUUGGGAAUGCAGCUCAAAAUGGGUGGUAAAUUUCAUCUAAAGCUAAAUAUUGGCGAGAGACCGAUAGCGCACAAGUAGAGUGAUCGAAAGAUGAAAAGCACUUUGAAAAGAGAGUUAAAAAGUACGUGAAAUUGUUGAAAGGGAA